ensembl:misc_RNA Metazoa_SRP Metazoan signal recognition particle RNA
GCCGGGCGCGGUGGCGGGCGCCUGUAAUCCCAGCUACACGGGAGGCUGAGGCAGGAGAAUGGCGUGAACCCGGGAGGUGGAGCUUGCAGUGAGCCGAGAUCCGGCCACUGCAUUCCAGCCUGGGCAACAGAGCCAGACUCCGUCUCAA